CAACGGAAUUAUCAAAUUUUGCAGCAGUUCAUUGGAGCACAUAGAAAGUUCAAUUUUUACAGUGAGGAAUGCUGAUGCCUGCCACUAGAAUGUCUUACAAGUGAACUUGAAUGUUGUGCACCUUAUUGAUGUAGUGUGUUUUGGAGGUCAAAUAAUAUCCUUCCAUGUGGUCAAGAUUUGACUGAAAAACAUGCUUAAAGAAACAUUUGGGCAGUAUGAAUAAUUCUGAAA